CCGGGCGCGAGUGACGAAUCGCGGCUCGGCUGGGCCGCAGGGAGCCGCCCCCGGGGCCGAGCGCGCGCGGGGCGGAGGCGACGCAGGAAUCAACCACUGUACUUCUGUCUACGGAUUUGACCACUACAGGAACUGGCUUACUCCUAGCUCUUGUGCUCAGGAAUCACCCCUAGCACAGUCCAGGGAAGCAUAUGGUGCUGCAGCUGAAACCCAGGUCAGCUACAUGCAAGGCAAGUACA